AUUGAACGCUGGCGGAAGGCCUAACACAUGAAAGCCGUGCGAGCGGCGGACGGGAGCGUAAUCUAUGGGGACUGCCCGACAGCGGCGGAUAACUACUGGAAACGGUACCUAAUACCGCAUACCAUCGGAUCACCCAUAUGGGAUUAGCUAGGAGGUGAGGUAAUGGCUCACCUAGGCGACGAUCCCUAGCUGGUCUGAGAGGAUGAUCAGCCACACUGGGACUGAGACACGGCCCAGACUCCUACGGAGGCAGCAGUGGGGAAUAUUGCACAAUGGGCGCAAGCCUGAUGCAGCCAGGCCGCGUGUAUGAAGAAGGCCCUAGGGUUGUAAAGUACUUUCAGUCGGGAGGCGUUACCGACAGAAGAAGCACCGGCUAACUCCGUGCCAGCAGCCGCGGUAAUAC
rnacentral:rRNA from 1 species